rnacentral:rRNA from 1 species
UGGGGAAUUUUGGACAAUGGGCGAAAGCCUGAUCCAGCAAUGCCGCGUGUGUGAAGAAGGCCUUCGGGUUGUAAAGCACUUUUGUCCGGAAAGAAAUCCUUGGCUCUAAUACAGUCGGGGGAUGACGGUACCGGAAGAAUAAGCACCGGCUAACUACGUGCCAGCAGCCGCGGUAAUACGUAGGGUGCAAGCGUUAAUCGGAAUUACUGGGCGUAAAGCGUGCGCAGGCGGUUUGCUAAGACCGAUGUGAAAUCCCCGGGCUCAACCUGGGAACUGCAUUGGUGACUGGCAGGCUAGAGUAUGGCAGAGGGGGGUAGAAUUCCACGUGUAGCAGUGAAAUGCGUAGAGAUGUGGAGGAAUACCGAUGGCGAAGGCAGCCCCCUGGGCCAAAUACUGACGCUCAUGCACGAAAGCGUGGGGAGCAAAACAGGAUUAGAUACCCUGGUAGUCCACGCCCUAAAACGAUGUCAACUAGUUGUUGGGGAUUCAUUUCCUUAGUAACGUAGCUAACGCGUGAAGUUGACCGCCUGGGGAGUAACGGUCGCAAAGAUUAAAACUCAAAUGAAUUGACGGGGUCAUAGCUG